UCUCCGUAGGUGAACCUGCGGAAGGAUCAUUACAGUAGUCACCCAGGUUGCCGCAAGGCCUCCUGGGUAACCUACCACCCUUUGUUUAUUACACUUUGUUGCUUUGGCAAGCCUGCCCUCGGGCUGCUGGCUCCGGCCGGCGAGCGCUUGCCAGAGGACCUAAACUCUGUUUGUCUAUACUGUCUGAGUACUAUAUAAUAGUUAAAACUUUCAACAACGGAUCUCUUGGUUCUG
rnacentral:misc_RNA from 1 species